AAAAGCUUUCUUUAAUUGAAUAAUUGAAUUUAAUUUUUUAGUGCAAAAGCAAAAAUAAAAAUUAGGGACAAGAAGACCCUAUGAAUUUUUUAUUAAAUUUUAUAAAACUUUAUAUAAAGUUUAAUUUAAUUGGGGUGAUGGAAAAAGAAUAAAUAUCUUUUUUUUAAAGAAAAUUGGUUCCGUUUUUAGCGAUUAAAUGAAAAAAAUACUCUAGGGAUAACAGCGUAAUAAUUUUGGAUAGUUCAUAUAGAUAAAAUAGUUUGCGACCUCGAUGUUGGAUUAGGAUUCUUUUUUGGUGAAGAAGUUAAAAAAAGAAGUUUGUUCAACUUAUAAUUUCCUACUUGAUCUGAGUUCAGACCGG
rnacentral:rRNA from 1 species